rnacentral:rRNA from 1 species
UGCGUAGGCGGCGCAGUAAGUCGGGGGUGAAAUCCCGGGGCUCAACCCCGGAACUGCCCACGAUACUGCUGUGCUCGAAUCGGCGCGAGGCAGGCGGAAUGUGGCAUGUAGCGGUGAAAUGCUUAGAUAUGCCAUAGAACACCGAUUGCGUAGGCAGCUUGCCAGAGCCGCAUUGACGCUGAGGCACGAAAGCGUGGGGAGCGAACAGGAUUAGAUACCCUGGUAGUCC